rnacentral:rRNA from 1 species
UACGGGGGGAGCAAGCGUUGUUCGGAUUUACUGGGCGUAAAGGGCGCGUAGGCGGCCACCGCAAGUCGACUGUGAAAUCUCCGGGCUUAACCCGGAAAGGUCAGCCGAUACUGCGGGGCUAGAGUGCAGAAGGGGCAACUGGGAUUCUCGGUGUAGCGGUGAAAUGCGUAGAUAUCGAGAGGAACACCUGCGGCGAAGGCGGGUUGCUGGGCUGACACUGGCGCUGAGGCGCGAAAGCUAGGGGAGCGAACGGG